GCUUGCAUAGCUCAGUAGGUAGAGCACUACCUUGGUAAGGUAGAGGUCACCAGUUCGAUCCUGGUUGUAAGCUCCA
rnacentral:tRNA from 1 species